UCCAGUGAAAAAACCGCGGCACAGGCAGCUCACGGGCCAUGAUCAAUCACUCUUCCAGUCAGCACUGAGCUCUCACCUCUCAGCCUCCCCUGAUCCAAUCCCCUUCCUCUCCACCGUUUCACUUCCUCCCCGAGCUCGGUUGGAUCCACUUCCAGCCGUCUUCCGUCCUCCGUCGAGCUAGCUCCUCCCGGCGACCUUCAACCGUGCACGAGCUGGAUCCACAGCGCCAGCUCGCUUCACCGUACAAUCCAAGUUCCAGCUACCAUCCGUCCUCCCGGCGGCCUUCAACCGUGCACGGCGUGGGAUCGUCUUCACCGUCCAAUCCAAGUUCACCGGUGGAGGAGACCGAUCAU